CAUUAGAUGACUGAAAGCAAGUAAUGGUCUCUUAAACCACAUAAUAACAGCCUGGCAACUGUUUCUAAUGA
rnacentral:tRNA from 1 species